rnacentral:rRNA from 1 species
GACGAACGCUGGCGGCGUGCUUAACACAUGCAAGUCGAACGGAAAGGCCCCUUUGGGGGUACUCGAGUGGCGAACGGGUGAGUAACACGUGAGUAACCUGCCCUUGACUUCGGGAUAACUUCAGGAAACUGGGGCUAAUACCGGAUAGGAAUCCUUGCUGCAUGGUGGGGGUUGGAAAGCUUCGGCGGGUUUGGAUGGACUCGCGGCUUAUCAGCUUGUUGGUGGGGUAGUGGCUUACCAAGGCUUUGACGGGUAGCCGGCCUGAGAGGGCGACCGGCCACAUUGGGACUGAGAUACGGCCCAGACUCCUACGGGAGGCAGCAGUGGGGAAUAUUGCAAAAUGGGCGGAAGCCUGAUGCAGCAACGCCGCGUGCGGGAUGACGGCCUUCGGGUUGUAAACCGCUUUCAGCAGGGGCGAAGCUUGUGGUGACGGUACCUGCAGAAGAAGCACCGGCUAACUACGUG